GACAGAGGGUGCAAACGUUGUUCGGAAUUACUGGGCGUAAAGCGCGUGUAGGCGGCUAAGUAAGUCCUGCGUGAAAUCUUGCGGCUCAACCGCAAGCGGUCGUGGGAAACUGGGUGGCUAGAGUGCGGGAGAGGAGAGUGGAAUUCCUGGUGUAGCGGUGGAAUGCGCAGAUAUCAGGAAGAACACCCGUGGCGAAGGCGGCUCUCUGGAACGCAACUGACGCUGAGACGCGAAAGCGUGGGGAGCAAACAGG
rnacentral:rRNA from 1 species